AUUGAACGCUGGCGGAAUGCCUUACACAUGCAAGUCGACCGGCAGCACGGGAGCAAUCCUGGAGGCGAGUGGCGAACGGGUGAGCAAAGUAUCGGAACGUGCACAGUCGUGGGGGAUAACGUAGCGAAAGUUACGUCAAAACCGCAUACGAACUAUGGAAGAAAGCGGGGGAUCGCAAGUCCUCGUGCGAUUGGAGCGGCCGAUAUCAGAUUAGGUAGUUGGUGGGGUAAAGGCUCACCAAGCCGACGAUCUGUAGCUGGUCUGAGAGGACGACCAGCCACACUGGGACUGAGACACGGCCCAGACUCCUACGGGAGGCAGCAGUGGGGAAUUUUGGACAAUGGGCGAAAGCCUGAUCCAGCCAUGCCGCGUGCAGGAUGAAUGCCUUCGGGUUGUAAACUGCUUUUGUACGGAGCGAAAAGGUUUGGCCUAAUAAGCUGAGCUCAUGACGGUACCGUAAGAAUAAGCACCGGCUAACUACGUGCCAGCCGCCGCUGUAA
rnacentral:rRNA from 1 species